CCUACGGGUGGCAGCAGUGAGGAAUAUUGGUCAAUGGCCGCAGGGCUGAACCAGCCAAGUCGCGUGAGGGAGGACGGUCCUAUGGAUUGUAAACCUCUUUUGUCAGGGAGCAAAGGGCGCCACGUGUGGCGUUUUGCGAGUACCUGAAGAAAAAGCAUCGGCUAACUCCGUGCCAGCAGCCGCGGUAAUACGGAGGAUGCGAGCGUUAUCCGGAUUUAUUGGGUUUAAAGGGUGCGCAGGCGGUUUGUCAAGUCAGCGGUAAAAUGUCGGGGCUCAACCCCGUCGUGCCGUUGAAACUGGCGGUCUUGAGUGAGCGAGAAGUAUGCGGAAUGCGCGGUGUAGCGGUGAAAUGCAUAGAUAUCGCGCAGAACUCCGAUUGCGAAGGCAGCAUGCCGGCGCUAAACUGACGCUCAUGCACGAAAGCGUGGGUAUCGAACAGGAUUAGAUACCCCAGUAGUC
rnacentral:rRNA from 1 species